AAACAAGAAGACAUGGUUGAUGUGAACCUCAAGCCUACUGUCAAUUCAUCCCAGAAUGAGCAGCAAGGAGGCGGUUGCGCAUGUUAGAGAUUUUGUAUUUAAAAAAAAAAAUGAAGACAGGAAUUGAAGCACUUUCAAUACUCAAUUAUACCCCCAACUGAAAUCAGAAUACAAGAGGAAUGGUGAUUUUGACAUGAACUACUCUGACAGCAAGAAGAUAAUUGCAACAGAUUGGUGCCAUUUGUUCAAUAUGCCAUCCAGGUUUCAAUUUUCUU
rnacentral:misc_RNA from 1 species